rnacentral:rRNA from 1 species
GAUGAACGCUGGCGGCGUGCCUAAUACAUGCAGGUCGAGCGAACAGAUAAGGAGCUUGCUCCUUUGACGUUAGCGGCGGACGGGUGAGUAACACGUGGGUAACCUACCUAUAAGACUGGGAUAACUUCGGGAAACCGGAGCUAAUACCGGAUAACAUUUGGAACCGCAUGGUUCUAAAGUGAAAGAUGGUUUUGCUAUCACUUAUAGAUGGACCCGCGCCGUAUUAGCUAGUUGGUAAGGUAACGGCUUACCAAGGCAACGAUACGUAGCCGACCUGAGAGGGUGAUCGGCCACACUGGAACUGAGACACGGUCCAGACUCCUACGGGAGGCAGCAGUAGGGAAUCUUCCGCAAUGGGCGAAAGCCUGACGGAGCAACGCCGCGUGAGUGAUGAAGGGUUUCGGCUCGUAAAACUCUGUUAUUAGGGAAGAACAAACGUGUAAGUAACUGUGCACGUCUUGACGGUACCUAAUCAGAAAGCCACGGCUAACUACGUG